rnacentral:rRNA from 1 species
CCCGCAACGAGCGCAACCCUUGUCAUUAGUUGCUACGAAAGAGCACUCUAAUGAGACUGCCGGUGACAAACCGGAGGAAGGUGGGGAUGACGUCAAGUCCUCAUGGCCCUUAUGGGUAGGGCUUCACACGUCAUACAAUGGUACAUACAGAGGGCCGCCAACCCGCGAGGGGGAGCUAAUCCCAGAAAGUGUAUCGUAGUCCGGAUUGUAGUCUGCAACUCGACUGCAUGAAGUUGGAAUCGCUAGUAAUCGCGGAUCAGCAUGUCGCGGUGAAUACGUU